AUGCUUUUAGACUACUGCUACAUAUAUAGGAAGAGGAAUGGAAAUUAUCCUGCAGCUCUUAUUAGAGGCAUUAUUAGAGAAAACACUUGUUUGAUGGAUCUGUUACAGAGAGCUGUAGAAUCUGGGAGAGUCAAUCAGCUGCCCUGGGGAGCCACUGAAGCUGCUUCACCAACAGUAGACAAGGACAGAAUGAAUGAAGUGAGAUGUUUUUUUCCUCACAGUAUUGCUUUAAAUAAAAAUAUAUUUCCAGGUAGAAUAUCUCACUGCAGAAGAAUAUGAUUUAAACUCCUCUGUCUUCUUCCAUGUGUUGCUAAGAACCCAGAGGCUUUAUAAUUACCUUGUAGCUGAAAAAUCAAUGGGUCAGUGGAUGUAACUGGCCUCUACUGGUUGGAAAAUACAUGUUUUUGUUUUUUUUAAAUGUUCCUAGACAAAGUUUUGAGAUGGAAAUAGUCAACUAGUAAAAAAAAAGGAAAUAGGUGAGGGGGGAAAACCUCAACCCUCCUACAAUGCUUGAAACUGGGAAGAACAUUUGAAAGGUAAUUUGGAUUGUUUUUCUGAAGACAUAAUUUUAUUUUCUCCUUUUCUAUCUUCAGAAGAGGACUUUGUAAUAGUGAAGUCAUCUUCCUCAUGGCAACAAAUGCCUCUUAGAGGAGCUUUCCCUGAUGCCUUGUAUUAUCAGCAACAAUUUUUGUAUUUCCCAUGACAUUCCCCUCACUCUUUUCCUAAAGAUUAUUAUAAAAGAUGGAAAUCAUUCUGUGACCCUGCCUUAAUCCUGUGAAAUAGAUUAUCCUUUUAGCCUGAAGUAAUUUGCUCUUGCAGGAAAACACCCUUAACUUGGCAUAACAUUGCCUCUUACAGCCAAUAAUCAGAGUCAUUAAAUUGUGUUCUCGUUAGUGAAAAUUCUAACCUCUGUUGCAAGUGUCCCUCGUUAGUGAAAAUUCUAACCUCUGUUGCAAGUGUCCCAGCACAACAGCUCCAAGUCCUCAAAAAAAAUUUUACAUAAAAUUAAGAAAUGGGGUAAAAGCAUGCUUCUUUUUGAAUGCAUCAUGGGUAUAUAUAUAUAUAAAA
rnacentral:lncRNA from 1 species